UCGAACAGAAGAGUGAAAUAGUUCCUGAAACCGUGCGCCUACAAGCGGUCGGAGCUGCUUAAAGCAGUGACGGCGUGCCUUUUGCAUAAUGAACCUACGAGUUGCCUUUGCCGGCAAGGUUAAGUGUGACGACACACGUAUCCGAAGCGAAAGCGAGUCUGAAUAGGGCGUAUAGUCGGCAGUGGCAGACGCGAAACCAAGUGAUCUACCCUUGGCCAGGUUGAAGGCUGGGUAACACCAGCUGGAGGACCGCACCAAUAAGCGUUGAAAAGCUUCUGGAUGAGCUGAGGGUAGGGGUGAAAGGCUAAUCAAACUUGGAGAUAGCUCGUACUCCCCGAAAUGCAUUUAGGUGCAGCCUUGUGGGUUACUGAUGUGAGGUAGAGCGACUGAUAAGAUGCGAGGGCUUCACCGCCUAUCAAGUCUUGACAAACUCCGAAUGCGCAUCAGUUUUACCUCAGGAGUGAGGGCAUGGGUGCUAAGGUCCGUGCCCGAGAGGAGAAGAAUCCGGACCACCUGCUAAGGUCCCGAAAUGACAGCUAAGUUAAACUAACGAAGUCUGACUGCUAAGACAGCUAGGAUGUUGGCUUGGAAGCAGCCAUUCAUUUAAAGAGUGCGUAACAGCUCACUAGUCGAGGAGUCUGGCGUGGAUAAUAAUCGGGUAUUAAGUUGUCUACCGAAGCAGUGGGAUCAUUGAAAUGAUCGGUAGGGGAGCAUUCCAGUCAGCGUCGAAGGCGUACCGCGAGGUAUUCUGGAGCGUCUGGAAAAGCAAAUGUAGGUAUAAGUAACGAUAAAGGGGGCGGGAAACCCCCUCGCCGAAAGACUAAGGUUUCCUGAUCAACGCUAAUCGGAUCAGGGUAAGUCGGGUCCUAAGGCUCAGCCGAAGGGCGAUGCCGAUGGCAGAAACGGUUAAUAUUCCGUUACUACCUCCAGGAGUGAUGUGGAGACGCAGUAGUGACAAUGCCGCCAUCUGACGGAAUAGAUGGUUGAAGGGUGUAGAUGUUGAUCUUGGCAGGCAAAUCCACCAUGAGAAUCGAACCUGAUAGUAUGCCGCGUCCCUCGGGACAAGGCAAUAGUGCAUGUAAUCAUGCUGCCAAGAAAAUCCGCUAAACUAAAUCCUGUAGGUACCCGUACCGUAAACGGACACACGUAGUCGGGAUGAAUAUUCUAAGGCGCUUGAGUGAUUCACGGUUAAGGAACUAGGCAAACUGACCCUGUAACUUCGGGAUAAAGGGUCCCUACCCGGUGACGGGAGGGCGCAGAGAAUAGGUCCAGGCAACUGUUUAACAAAAACACAGGGCUGUGCUAAAUCGAAAGAUCCUGUAUACAGCCUGACACCUGCCCGGUGCUGGAAGGUUAAGAGGAGACGUCAUCGUUGAGAGAAGCGUUGAAUUGAAGCCCCAGUAAACGGCGGCCGUAACUAUAACGGUCCUAAGGUAGCGAAAUUCCUUGUCGGGU
rnacentral:rRNA from 1 species